UACAGAGGUCCCGAGCGUUGUUCGGAUUCACUGGGCGUAAAGGGUGCGUAGGCGGUUCUGAAAGUCUGAUGUGAAAUCUCCAGGCCCAACCUGGAAACGGCAUUAGAAACUACAGGGCUAGAGGCUUGGAGGGGGAACUGGAAUUCUCGGUGUAGCAGUGAAAUGCGUAGAGAUCGAGAGGAACACCAGUGGCGAAGGCGAGUUCCUGGACAAGUCCUGACGCUGAGGCACGAAAGCCAGGGGAGCGAACGGG
rnacentral:rRNA from 1 species